rnacentral:sRNA from 1 species
GUUUGCACUCAUCGGGGAAGGGUGAGAACCUUCGACUAAGGUUCGAUUCGAGCGAAAGCGAGAGAACGUUGCCACAGGCAACGGC